AGUGAACGCUGGCGGUAGGCCUAACACAUGCAAGUCGAACGGCAGCACAGGAGAGCUUGCUCUCUGGGUGGCGAGUGGCGGACGGGUGAGGAAUACAUCGGAAUCUACUCUGUCGUGGGGGAUAACGUAGGGAAACUUACGCUAAUACCGCAUACGACCUACGGGUGAAAGCGGGGGACCUUCGGGCCUUGCGCGAUUGAAUGAGCCGAUGUCGGAGUAGCUAGUUGGCGGGGUAAAGGCCCACCAAGGCGACGAUCCGUAGCUGGUCGGUGAGGAUGGUCAGCCACACUGGAACUUAUACACGGUCCAGACUACUACGGGAGGGAGCAGUGGGGAAUAUUGGACAAUGGGCGCAAGCCUGAUCCAGCCAUACCGCGUGGGUGAAGAAGGCCUUCGGGUUGUAAAGGCCUUUUGUUGGGAAAGAAAUCCAGCUGGCUAAUACCCGGUUGGGAUGACGGUACCCAAAGAAUAAGCACCGGCUAACUUCGUGCCAGCCGCCGCAGUAA
rnacentral:rRNA from 1 species